UACAGAGGUCCCGAGCGUUGUUCGGAUUCACUGGGCGUAAAGGGUGCGCAGGUGGGUUGGCAAGUUUGAUGUGAAAGCCCCGGGCUUAACCCGGGAAUGGCAUUGAAUACUGUCGACCUGGAGGAUUGGAGGGGGGACUGGAAUUCUUGGUGUAGCAGUGAAAUGCGUAGAUAUCAAGAGGAACACCAGUGGCGAAGGCGAGUCCCUGGACAAUACCUGACACUGAGGCACGAAAGCCGGGGGAGCAAACAGG
rnacentral:rRNA from 1 species